GAGGCACCUGAGCUGGUGGUGCCGUAAUCGCCUCCUCCUGUGGUGUUGCUGCAGGCGCCGUCCGAAAUGUGUCGAGUGCAGGGGACGACCCUCGGGGUGCAACCAUCUCCACCAGUGCGGGUGGCGUAGGAGCUUGAGUCUCUCUAGCAGUAGCCUGCUGAAGUAGGAGGUCCUCCAAGCGCUUCAUCCGCGCCUCCUGUCGGCGCGUUGCCUUCGUCUGCUGUGCCACCAUAUCAGUGAGGGCCGCAAGCUGGCCCCUCAACUCAUGGACCUCGCCGGAGCCGGAGGUAGCGAAGGUCUCGACCUCCUACACGUUCGCCGCAUUAUCCGCUCCGGCAGAUUGAGAGCGUGCAAUCGGCAUCGUCACUACAGUAUCAUAAAAGCGCAAGUUAGCAAACUCACGCUAUCGAAUCCCCGCUCAAGAAGGUAAAGCCCAAAUCAUGCGAAAGUAAGGAAGUGUGCUUCACUACUAACUCCCGAUGUUACGUUGUCGGCCGCCAACGUAACCCUCCGCGAAGUUAGAAGCCAUACACUUCGAUUUAACUCCACUUUCUAGAGUUAUCCAAGAUACCCAAUCAAGAUACUUUCGCUUAUAAGUCAAAUAGACCUCGUCUCUCACGAGCCUAUUUCCUAUAGUCCAACCAGCCUAAGGUUUGCUAGGUCCCCUAAGACUCAACCCUAGGCUCUGAUACCAAAUUAAUCUGUCACGCCCCGGGGCCCAGCGGAAGCCCGCCCGUCGCGUGCCCAGACCCGCUAUAUGUCUAAAACAUACGAUGCGUCUACAACAAAGCGAUAAGUAAAGCAAUAAUAAAAGAACAUCUAGGAGUAUCAUAGCAUAGUACAUCUAGAUUUCUACAACAAGAAAAGGAGAAAGAAGCCAACUCCACUAAAUGAGAGUCAU
rnacentral:lncRNA from 1 species